GACCGCUUGGCGCAAUGUUAGUGUGUUCGUCUCCAGACCGAUAGGUUGGGCGUUCGAUCCGCUCAGUGGUCA
rnacentral:tRNA from 1 species